AGUCGAGCGAAUGGAUUAGAGAGCUUGCUCUCAAUGAAGUUAGCGGCGGACGGGUGAGUAACACGUGGGUAACCUGCCCAUAAGACUGGGAUAACUCCGGGAAACCGGGGCUAAUACCGGAUAACAUUUUGAACUGCAUGGUUCGAAAUUGAAAGGCGGCUUCGGCUGUCACUUAUGGAUGGACCCGCGUCGCAUUAGCUAGUUGGUGAGGUAACGGCUCACCAAGGCAACGAUGCGUAGCCGACCUGAGAGGGUGAUCGGCCACACUGGGACUGAGACACGGCCCAGACUCCUACGGGAGGCAGCAGUAGGGAAUCUUCCGCAAUGGACGAAAGUCUGACGGAGCAACGCCGCGUGAGUGAUGAAGGCUUUC
rnacentral:rRNA from 2 species